UGUUCCAGAAUAAUCGGCUAGACUUUGUAAACUUGUACUCGAAUUGAGGUUGAACCUGGGCGAAUUGUAGUAUACUUUGAACUUUAAGGUAAAAUUAGAAGUUAUUAGUGUUUAUGCCUUGUGUUUUUAGAUUUGUUGAACGAGCCAGAUUAGUACCUGGUUAGACAAAAAUUAAAAGAGCAGGAGUAAAGUUAUAUUUAAACUGUAAGAAUAUUGGCAGGUUUUUAAAUUAUCUUUGGAGGUUGAGUAGUAAUUGAGAGCCCUCAUUAACAGCCCAUGUUAUAGGCGCAUGUAUGAUCGUUUAUUUUAUCCUUAGGGGUUGUAAUAUUAGUUUUGUUGCUGUAAAAAUAGAUAGAUACUUGGUUGAUAUGUGGGAUUUAAUUUGACCUACAAUAGCUUAUGUUGUGGACUUUAGUUGUAGUGACUAUUUGAAAUUGUAAAAGACAGUAAGUUCUUUUUUAUGUAGAACUGAAGUUUAUUUAGAGACGGUACAAA
rnacentral:rRNA from 1 species